rnacentral:rRNA from 1 species
UUAAGCGACUAAGCGUACACGGUGGAUGCCCUGGCAGUCAGAGGCGAUGAAGGACGUGCUAAUCUGCGAUAAGCGUCGGUAAGGUGAUAUGAACCGUUAUAACCGGCGAUUUCCGAAUGGGGAAACCCAGUGUGUUUCGACACACUAUCAUUAACUGAAUCCAUAGGUUAAUGAGGCGAACCGGGGGAACUGAAACAUCUAAGUACCCCGAGGAAAAGAAAUCAACCGAGAUUCCCCCAGUAGCGGCGAGCGAACGGGGAGGAGCCCAGAGUCUGAAUCAGUGUGUGUGUUAGUGGAAGCGUCUGGAAAGGCGCGCGAUACAGGGUGACAGCCCCGUACACAAAAAUGCACAUAUUGUGAGCUCGAUGAGUAGGGCGGGACACGUGGUAUCCUGUCUGAAUAUGGGGGGACCAUCCUCCAAGGCUAAAUACUCCUGACUGACCGAUAGUGAACCAGUACCGUGAGGGAAAGGCGAAAAGAACCCCGGCGAGGGGAGUGAAAAAGAACCUGAAACCGUGUACGUACAAGCAGUGGGAGCACGCUUAGGCGUGUGACUGCGUACCUUUUGUAUAAUGGGUCAGCGACUUAUAUUCUGUAGCAAGGUUAACCGAAUAGGGGAGCCGAAGGGAAACCGAGUCUUAACUGGGCGUUAAGUUGCAGGGUAUAGACCCGAAACCCGGUGAUCUAGCCAUGGGCAGGUUGAAGGUUGGGUAACACUAACUGGAGGACCGAACCGACUAAUGUUGAAAAAUUAGCGGAUGACUUGUGGCUGGGGGUGAAAGGCCAAUCAAACCGGGAGAUAGCUGGUUCUCCCCGAAAGCUAUUUAGGUAGCGCCUCGUGAACUCAUCUCCGGGGGUAGAGCACUGUUUCGGCAAGGGGGUCAUCCCGACUUACCAACCCGAUGCAAACUGCGAAUACCGGAGAAUGUUAUCACGGGAGACACACGGCGGGUGCUAACGUCCGUCGUGAAGAGGGAAACAACCCAGACCGCCAGCUAAGGUCCCAAAGUCAUGGUUAAGUGGGAAACGAUGUGGGAAGGCCCAGACAGCCAGGAUGUUGGCUUAGAAGCAGCCAUCAUUUAAAGAAAGCGUAAUAGCUCACUGGUCGAGUCGGCCUGCGCGGAAGAUGUAACGGGGCUAAACCAUGCACCGAAGCUGCGGCAGCGACGCUUAUGCGUUGUUGGGUAGGGGAGCGUUCUGUAAGCCUGUGAAGGUGUGCUGUGAGGCAUGCUGGAGGUAUCAGAAGUGCGAAUGCUGACAUAAGUAACGAUAAAGCGGGUGAAAAGCCCGCUCGCCGGAAGACCAAGGGUUCCUGUCCAACGUUAAUCGGGGCAGGGUGAGUCGACCCCUAAGGCGAGGCCGAAAGGCGUAGUCGAUGGGAAACAGGUUAAUAUUCCUGUACUUGGUGUUACUGCGAAGGGGGGACGGAGAAGGCUAUGUUGGCCGGGCGACGGUUGUCCCGGUUUAAGCGUGUAGGCUGGUUUUCCAGGCAAAUCCGGAAAAUCAAGGCUGAGGCGUGAUGACGAGGCACUACGGUGCUGAAGCAACAAAUGCCCUGCUUCCAGGAAAAGCCUCUAAGCAUCAGGUAACAUCAAAUCGUACCCCAAACCGACACAGGUGGUCAGGUAGAGAAUACCAAGGCGCUUGAGAGAACUCGGGUGAAGGAACUAGGCAAAAUGGUGCCGUAACUUCGGGAGAAGGCACGCUGAUAUGUAGGUGAAGCGACUUGCUCGUGGAGCUGAAAUCAGUCGAAGAUACCAGCUGGCUGCAACUGUUUAUUAAAAACACAGCACUGUGCAAACACGAAAGUGGACGUAUACGGUGUGACGCCUGCCCGGUGCCGGAAGGUUAAUUGAUGGGGUCAGCGCAAGCGAAGCUCUUGAUCGAAGCCCCGGUAAACGGCGGCCGUAACUAUAACGGUCCUAAGGUAGCGAAAUUCCUUGUCGGGUAAGUUCCGACCUGCACGAAUGGCGUAAUGAUGGCCAGGCUGUCUCCACCCGAGACUCAGUGAAAUUGAACUCGCUGUGAAGAUGCAGUGUACCCGCGGCAAGACGGAAAGACCCCGUGAACCUUUACUAUAGCUUGACACUGAACAUUGAGCCUUGAUGUGUAG